GCCUUAUGCUCAAUUCCAAACUCUGACUACUGCAAUCUAACCACAAAAAAUAGGUGGAAGCCUAUCAACACGUGGUCCAUCUGCAUUCAUAUUCAAUCCAUCUUUUCCAGAAGCAAUAGCACUUAACAAAUGGUGCAUCACAAAUGCUGAAAAAAUCAACAAUCUUCCAACAGCAAAUCUUCAAAGAGCUGCACAUAAGAAACCUACUGCUGAUGACAUCAUUUCAAUGGUCGAUUUACCAACAUCGGUAAUUGAGCCUGAAUAUCCAAGCGUAGAAGCCACCGUCCAAGUGUUUUGACUUCAAUCAGAAAUUUUACUACCUAUCUUGCUCGAACUGCAAUAGAGCCACUUAUGCUCAUGCUGAUGGCAACUUUUGGUGUAACUAUUGUGAUCAAAAAGUGCCACCAUUACUAAGGCUCAAAUUCAAUGUGGAGAUCGCAGAUCAACUGGAUCCAUCCCUGCCACUGUAUUUGCAGAAAAGGCAGAACAGCUUUAUGACAUCAUUGCAGCAGAAAUGGUCAAUAAUACAACUGAUGGUAAUCUGUCAGUUGAAAUGAUUCAGAAGCUAUCCACUCCCAAAAAAUGGGUCCUCAUCCUAAAGGCAUCCAUGUACACAUAUGGAGCAAUUAGCCAAUGAGUCUUCAAUGUCCACUCUGUUUACAACACAGUUCCUGAUCAGCAAGCACCUGAGCAACCAUCAAGCCAGAAUCUAAGCCCAAACACCCUAAAGAAGGGUGGAGCGAAGGCACUCUCAAUAGUAGUCAUCAACAAAUGACGACACCAUGGAACAAGAUAGCCCUGUGGAGCCUUUCAAGAACGAGCAAAAAAAGGAAGAAGCCCUAUGAAGCAAACCUUUUGUUCUACCUCUUAAAAUAGUAGACAUUGCAGCAAAUCUUUUGAUGUCCAUAAUUUGCAGCCAUCUCUACUAUUCUAGCUACAAACCUUUCUAAAAACUCAAGACAAAUCUUUUGGUUCAUGUUCUUUGUCAUGAAGAUGUAUGAAACUCCCUUUUGUGUAAUUGGCUUUGCCGUUACUUCAAAGUAUUACAUACAAAGUUAAUCAGCUGGAAGCUUUAUCAAUUUCUUCAAAGGCCUUGCAUAUGAGCAUGUGAAUUUCAU